rnacentral:rRNA from 1 species
GACGAACGCUGGCGGCGUGCCUAAUACAUGCAAGUUGAGCGAUGAAGAUUGGUGCUUGCACCAAUUUGAAGAGCAGCGAACAGGUGAGUAACGCGUGGGGAAUCUGCCUUUGAGCGGGGGACAACAUUUGGAAACGAAUGCUAAUACCGCAUAAUAACUUUAAACAUAAGUUUUAAGUUUGAAAGAUGCAAUUGCAUCACUCAAAGAUGAUCCCGCGUUGUAUUAGCUAGUUGGUGAGGUAAAGGCUCACCAAGGCGAUGAUACAUAGCCGACCUGAGAGGGUGGUCGGCCACAUUGGGACUGAGACACGGCCCAAACGCCUACGGGAGGCAGCAGUAGGGAAUCUUCGGCAAUGGACGAAAGUCUGACCGAGCAACGCCGCGUGAGUGAAGAAGGUUUUCGGAUCGUAAAACUCUGUUGGUAGAGAAGAACGUUGGUGAGAGUGGAAAGCUCAUCAAGUGACGGUAACUACCCAGAAAGGGACGGCUAACUACGUG